AGAACGAACGCUGGCGGCAUGCCUAAUACAUGCAAGUCGAACGAACUCUUCGGAGUUAGUGGCGCACGGGUGCGUAACGCGUGGGAAUCUGCCCCUUGGUUCGGAAUAACAGUUGGAAACGACUGCUAAUACCGGAUGAUGACGAAAGUCCAAAGAUUUAUCGCCCAGGGAUGAGCCCGCGUAGGAUUAGCUAGUUGGUGAGGUAAAGGCUCACCAAGGCGACGAUCCUUAGCUGGUCUGAGAGGAUGAUCAGCCACACUGGGACUGAGACACGGCCCAGACUCCUACGGGAGGCAGCAGUAGGGAAUAUUGGACAAUGGGCGAAAGCCUGAUCCAGCAAUGCCGCGUGAGUGAUGAAGGCCUUAGGGUUGUAAAGCUCUUUACCCGAGAUGAUAAUGACAGUAUCGGAGAAUAAGCCCCGGACUAACCUCCGUGCCAGCACGCCGC
rnacentral:rRNA from 1 species